AGAGGAAGCUGCAUGUUGCACUUUCCUUUAUCAGUGCACUUCAGGCCGCUCUCACGUCAGACCCUUAAGUCCCGCCCACAGAUUUUCUGACGAAUCCAGGUGGUGCAGCGCCAAAAGGGGCGGUCUCGCUCGUUUCCCGCGCGAAAUUACUGAAUUUCCCUCCAAAAUUUUAAAUCCCUAUAUAAGCUGCUGAUGGACUUUCACUCUGGUCUGAACGGCUCUACCCUGAGGACACGAACACGGUGAACAGCUCUGACCUGUAUGGUGAUCAGACCCGGAGAGAAGAGCCAUCCGGUCCAACAAGGUGACGGACGAGCAGCCAAGACGAGCGAGACGAGCUGAACCCUGGAGACGAAGCAGCAGGAAAACUGAGUAUCUGUGUCCGUCUUCUGAUGACAACUCCUUCACUACAGUUUCACCUCCUCGGACAGUGAGCACUGUUGUCUUUACUGGCUAUUUACGUAAUAAACCCUUUUUUGAAUUACA